CCUACGGGAGGCAGCAGUGGGGAAUUUUGCGCAAUGGGGGCAACCCUGACGCAGCAACGCCGCGUGAGUGAUGAAGGCCUUCGGGUCGUAAAGCUCUGUCAGAGGGGAAGAAAUGCAGGUGGUGAACAACCAUUCUGUUUGACGGUACCCUCAAAGGAAGCACCGGCUAACUCCGUGCCAGCAGCCGCGGUAAUACGGAGGGUGCGAGCGUUGUUCGGAAUUAUUGGGCGUAAAGCGCGUGUAGGCGGUUUGUUAAGUCUGAGGGGAAAGCCCCGGGCUCAACCUGGGAAGUGCAUUGGAUACUGGCAGGCUGGAGUACGGGAGAGGAGAGUGGAAUUCCCGGUGUAGGAGUGAAAGCCGUAGAUAGUGGGAGGAACACCGUGGGCGAAGGCGGCUCUCGGGACUGAUACUGACGCUGAAGCGCGAAAGCGUGG
rnacentral:rRNA from 1 species